UUUUUUUUCUUUUUAAAAGAGUGACAGGGUCUCAUCAUGUUGCCCAGGCUGGUCUUGAACUCCUAAGCUCAAGUGAUCUGCCCGCCUGAGCCUCCCAGAAUGCUGAAAUUAAAGGUGCUUCAUACUGCUAAGUUAUCAAAGGUACUUAUUUUUGAAGCUUCCUGUAAAUUAAAAGAGGAGCUUGGAGUCUUCAUUUUGUUGUUGUGACAGUUAAUCACGGUUGUUAUGUUAGAACUUGCCAUGCAGAGCUAGGCGAUUUUUUAUUUAGGGUACUUCAUUUUUAUCACGCAUUUGAAAGGGCCACCAAAGAGUUAAAAAUAAAAUUUGGUUAGAUUACUGCUUUUGUUGGUGAGAAAAACAUUACUUGUAUCCUUUAAUUGGCUUUAAGUUAAAGACAGACAACAUGAACUUUAAAAAUAUUAAGUAUUCUUUUAAAUAUGGAUCAAAUAAGUAUUAAACUCUUUAAAUUUCAAGUUGUAAGCAAAUCAGUUUAAAGUUCUUAGAAAUAUUGGGGGUGGGCUAGAGUGUGCCUUCUUUGUAUUUAUAGCUAGAGGAAGAUUAGCCCAUGGCGCAAUGAAAUAAGCCAGAGUUAAGGGGUUACCUCCUUGGUGUAUUAUUUUAAUUAUUUAAUGAUUUGACUUUCAGGUUACAGAGAAGAUCCCAGUAAGGCAUUUAUAUACAAAAGAUAUUGACAUACAUGAAGUUCGUAUUGGCUGGUCACUAACUACAAGUGGAAUGUUACUUGGUAAAGCUUCUUUUUGACUGAUGUGGGCUCAUGAAUGUUCAGGAGGGUCUGAUUUCAGUGUUUUUUAACUAGAGGGCAUUCUAAGCCUUUUGUCUGUUUUUAUCUAUUCUGUUAAUACUUCAGACAAGUAAUAUUAGCACAUAGUAGGCACAGGCUACAUUUUAGUUUUUGUUCUUUUAUUAGAAGUUUAUGACCGAUGGUCGAAAUAAAAUCUUACCCAUGAUAUGCAAAUUGUCAACUAAUUUGGUCUCUGCAUAUAUAUCCCUCCUAACUUCCAUCAAUUCUGGUACAGAGAUAGAAAAGUAAUAGUGUCAGUGACAGGUGAUUAGGUUAUAUGCUUAUUUCUCUUGUAGCCUACGUCUUAAGUAGUAAAAUAGAUGAGUCUUUGGACUAUUUUAAAAAUCUACUUCAUGAAGGUUAAUUGUUUUCUUAGGUGAAGAAGAAUUUUCUUACGGGUAUUCUCUAAAAGGAAUAAAAACAUGCAACUGUGAGACUGAAGAUUAUGGAGAAAAGUUUGAUGAAAAUGAUGUGAUUACAUGUUUUGCUAACUUUGAAAGUGAUGAAGUAGAACUCUCCUAUGCUAAGAAUGGUCAAGAUCUUGGCAUUGCCUUCAAAAUCAGUAAGGAAGUUCUUGCUGGACGGCCACUCUUCCCGCAUGUUCUCUGCCACAACUGUGCAGUUGAAUUUAAUUUUGGUCAGAAGGAAAAGCCAUAUUUUCCAAUACCUGAAGAGUAUACUUUUAUCCAGAAUGUCCCCUUAGAGGAUCGAGUUAGAGGACCAAAGGGGCCUGAAGAGAAGAAAGAUUGUGAAGUAAGUGAUUUUUUUUUUAGACUGUGGCAUUUGAAUAUUGCUUGCCUGGCACAAAAUGACAUUUAGAAGAACUAGAUGAUUAGUCAGUUUCAUUUACUUUCUGCUGUGCAUAUUGCUCUUAAGUAAUUGUUUCCCCCUUAUGUUGACUGUUAAUCUUUCCAUAAACACAAAUUUUUGUUUCUUAGUAUAAGGGCUAUGAAAACUUAGAUAUUUAAAUUGGCCUUAAAAAACAAUAUUUAAAGAGUUAUUAGGUGGUGUCUACUGACAGUGAAAUCACAUUUCUUUUGUUUUCACUAGGUUGUGAUGAUGAUUGGCUUGCCAGGAGCUGGAAAAACUACCUGGGUUACUAAGCAUGCAGCAGAAAAUCCAGGGAAAUAUAACAUUCUUGGCACAAAUACUAUUAUGGAUAAGAUGAUGGUAAGUAAAAUGUUUAGGGCCUGAUCUCAGUGUUUAAAAUAGACUAGGAGAGGCUGGGCAUGGUGGUUCACGCCUGUAAUCUCAGCAUUUUGGGAGGCUGAGGUGGAUGGAUCACCUGAGGUCAGGAGUUUGAGACCCACCUGGCCAACAUGGCAAAGCCCCGUUCCUACUAAAAAUAAAAAAAUUAGCUGGGCGUGGUAGUGGGUGCCUGUAAUCCCAGCUGCUCGGGAGGCUGAGGCAGGGACAAUUACUUGAACCUGGGAGGCAGAGGUUGCAGUGAGUUGAGAUCAUGCCAUUGUACUACAGUCUGGGCAACAGAGCAACACUCCGUCUCAGGGAAAAAAGAAAAAAAAAAUUAUAGACCGGGAGGUAUUCUAGGUAAACCCUUUUGCCUUUGUCUCUAUCCAUUUUGUUAAUAUCUUAAAGAGAUGGGAGGAAAGGCAAGAUUAAGUUGGUUCUUUCAACUCUAUGAGGGUAAACUGCCUUCCAGUGGCUAGGCUUCUGUUUUUUUUCCGUAGUGUUUUUGAGCUCUUAACAUCUAGCAGCUAAAAAGAAUUGAGUAAGUGUAAGGUCUUGUUACAUAGUUUAAGUGACCCUGUUUUUGUAGCAGUAAUGGACAAAGGUAAUACUUAAAUUAUAAAACGUUGCCUGCUUUAUAUAUAGAUAUGAGUUGAAGUUUUAAAAGCAUAACUUAUUAAAAUUCACAAGUUCAAGGGGAAAUUUUAACUUUUGAAUAUAGGUGGCAGGUUUUAAGAAGCAAAUGGCAGAUACUGGAAAACUGAACACACUGUUGCAGAGAGCCCCCCAGUGUCUUGGGAAAUUUAUUGAGAUUGCUGCCCGAAAGAAGCGAAAUUUUAUUCUGGAUCAGACAAAUGUGUCUGCUGCUGCCCAGAGGAGAAAAAUGUGCCUGUUUGCAGGCUUCCAGCGAAAAGCUGUUGUAGUUUGCCCAAAAGAUGAAGACUAUAAGCAAAGAACACAGAAGAAAGCAGAAGUAGAGGGGAAAGACCUACCAGAACAUGCAGUCCUCAAAAUGAAAGGCAUGGAAUUUUAAUUCUGUUACUGUUUAAAUCUUUUUAAAAAAAAAUUUUUUUCCCCUACAUAUUCUGCUUGUGUAACUAUGUUAAAUCUGUUAGGACUUACGCCUCUGAAAAGUUAACAUUUUUUCCAGCAAUACUGCUUCAGGAAUUAAAAUUGCAGUUGUUAAAUAUGCAUAUAUGUUUGGUCUGUUUUUGUUUAUUUUUAGGAAAAUACGUUACUAAACCUCAAGAAUUGUUAGCUUUAGGAUUGUGAGGAUUCGUGGUGGGUUUCUAAGUUAAUAAUAUGACUUUGUUUCCUGCAGGAAACUUUACCCUCCCAGAGGUAGCUGAGUGCUUUGAUGAAAUAACCUAUGUUGAACUUCAGAAGGAAGAAGCCCAAAAACUCUUGGAGCAAUAUAAGGAAGAAAGCAAAAAGGCUCUUCCACCAGAAAAGAAACAGAACACUGGCUCAAAGAAAAGCAAUAAAAAUAAGAGUGGCAAGAACCAGUUUAACAGAGGUGGUGGCCAUAGAGGACGUGGAGGAUUCAAUAUGCGUGGUGGAAAUUUCAGAGGAGGAGGCAAGUUAAUUUUGAGUGUUCUGUAUUUAGUUCAGGAUCGAAACAAGUGAUAAUUUUAUAGUUUGGAUGUAGCUGAAGUUUCUUCCUCAUUAAUGGUAUGCUGUCACAGUAACUAGUUUAAAGUAUUCAUGUGAUUUGAUAUUAAAUACACCUCGGUCAUGUUAAUGGUUAGAAUUAAACAUGUCUUUUGUCUUUAAACAAUUAUUUUUGGAGAAAAAGGAACAAUCUAGAGGAAUCCUAAGUCUUCUGUAUAAGUAGGGUACAAUAUACAAUGAAACUAAAACAGCUCUUGUUUUUUAGCCCCUGGGAAUCGUGGCGGAUAUAAUAGGAGGGGCAACAUGCCACAGAGAGGUGGUGGUGGCGGAGGAAGUGGUGGAAUCGGUUAUCCAUACCCUCGUGCCCCUGUUUUUCCUGGCCGUGGUAGUUACUCAAACAGAGGGAACUACAACAGAGGUGGAAUGCCCAACAGAGGGAACUACAACCAGGUAAUGAUUCAAGAUCCCUGGAAGCAUGAUUGAUAGCUGUAUAGCUUAGUCUGGAAAGGUAUGAGCUUUAUGUUGGGGUGUCUUAGUAGUCCAUAAGGAACAUGAUAGGCAUUGACAUAAGGAAAAUUGAAUUAGUAAUGGUGAAAUGAGUCUACUUACUUUUGAGUUUUUUCAGGUGUCCUAAUUAACAAGUCAGAUGCAUUUCUCAUAAUGAAUAAAAAAUUAAAACAUUAAGAAACCAGCAGAGGGUAUCCAGAAUUUGUGUAUUGCCCCCUAAAAUUAGGGGCUAGCAACCUGUCCAUUUCUGCUCCUCUCUCCCACCCCCACAAACCUAACAAGCAAUUGGGCUCAGAGCUCUUAGAGAGUAUUUCCUUUUUGUAGAACUUCAGAGGACGAGGAAACAAUCGUGGCUACAAAAAUCAAUCUCAGGGCUACAACCAGUGGCAGCAGGGUGUAAGUAAUUUCUUAUGUGCUUUAUGUACAUUAAUUGUAUUUUGAGUUCCUAAGAUUUAUCAGUCUUGAAAAAGAUCUUGUUAAUAGGGUAAAGUGUGAAUCGUCUUGCAGUAGUAGCCAUAAUCUACCUUUUGAAGGCAAAAUAGGUUGAAGAUUGCUAUAAGUUAAAUUUUUUUAAUAAAGUAAUAUUAUUUAAUAUAUACAGUUCUUUUACUGCUAGCUUUAAUUGUGUAAACUAACAAAGUCAUGAUGUUUCAUUUUGUAAUGUGUAUCGAUAAUUAUGGGAUAUUAAAACUAAAUCUGGUUUGGUAGAAAUCAGAGGUAUGACAAGUAUAAAUUUGUUUCCAGCAAAUUACUCUGAAUUAGAUUCAUUGUCAUUUCCUAAAAACAGUUUGAGUGGCUUAUUGAUGUUUUUUCUUUAAAAACAAAAUUUUCUCUUACAGCAAUUCUGGGGUCAGAAGCCAUGGAGUCAGCAUUAUCACCAAGGAUAUUAUUGAAUACCCAAAUAAAACGAACUGAUACAUAUUUCUCCAAAACCUUCACAAGAAGUCGACUGUUUUCUUUAGUAGGCUAACUUUUUAAACAUUCCACAAGAGGAAGUGCCUGCGGGUUCCUUUUUUAGAAGCUUUGUGGGUUGAUUUUUUUUCUUUUCUUUUUUGUACAUUUUUAAUUGCAGUUUAAAAGUGAAUCGUAAGAGAACCUCAGCAUUGUGCACGAUAAGAGAAUGUGUCAGUAUUUCAGGGUUCUACAUUUUAUC
rnacentral:sRNA from 1 species